rnacentral:misc_RNA from 1 species
GCAAACUUGGUCAUUUAGAGGAAGUAAAAGUCGUAACAAGGUUUCCGUAGGUGAACCUGCGGAAGGAUCAUUAUUGAAUACUCUUGAUGAGUUGUAGCUGGCUCUCCGGGGCAUGUGCACGCUUGUCUUGAUUUAAUUCAUCCACCUGUGCACCUUUUGUAGUCUUGGGGGUUGAAAGCAGUCAACUAUCGGAUGGCUAUGGCUUUUCCGGAUGUGAGAAAUGCUGAGUGCAUAGACGCAUACAGCUCUUCUCAAAUGACUUGCAAACCUCUGAGUACUAUGUAUUCAUAUACCACGUCGUAUGUUGUAGAAUGUGAUCAAUGGGUCUAUGUACCUAUAAUAAUCAUAUACAACUUUCAGCAACGGAUCUCUUGGCUCUCGCAUCGAUGAAGAACGCAGC